AGUGAACGCUGGCGGCAGGCCUAACACAUGCAAGUCGAGCGGCAGCGCGGGGGCAAUCCUGGCCGCGCGCGGCGGACGGGUGAGGGAUUCACCGGAAUCUGCCUUUCUUUUGGGGAUGACGUAGGUAAACUUACGCUAAUACCACAUCCGUCCAUCUGGUGAAACUGGGGGAUCGCUAGGCAUCACCGGGAUUGCUGAGCCGACGACCGAUUAGCUAGUUGGUGGGGUAAAGGGCUACCAAGGCGACGAUCGGUAGCUGGUCUGAGAGGAUGAUCUGCCACACGGGAACUGAGACACGGCCCAGACUCCUACGGGAGGCAGCAGUGGGGAAUAUUGGGCAAUGGGCGCAAGCCUGAUCCAGCCAGGCCGCGUGUGUGAAGAAGGCCUUCGGGUUGUAAAGCACUGUUGUCCGGAAAGAAAACCCUGGGGCUAAUACCUGCGGGGGAUGACGGUACCGGAAGAAUAAGCACCGGCUAACUACGUG
rnacentral:rRNA from 1 species